GUGGGGAAUAUUGCACAAUGGGCGAAAGCCUGAUGCAGCAACGCCGCGUGAAGGACGAAGUAUUUCGGUAUGUAAACUUCUAUCAGCAGGGAAGAUAACGACGGUACCUGACUAAGAAGCCCCGGCUAACUACGUGCCAGCAGCCGCGGUAAUACGUAGGGGGCAAGCGUUAUCCGGAUUUACUGGGUGUAAAGGGAGCGUAGGCGGCAGCGCAAGUCAGAAGUGAAAGCCCGGGGCUUAACUCCGGGACUGCUUUUGAAACUGUGCGGCUAGAUUUCAGGAGAGGUAAGCGGAAUUCCUAGUGUAGCGGUGAAAUGCGUAGAUAUUAGGAGGAACACCAGUGGCGAAGGCGGCUUACUGGACUGACAAUGACGCUGAGGCUCGAAAGCGUGGGGAGCAAACAGGA
rnacentral:rRNA from 1 species